rnacentral:rRNA from 1 species
AUGCAAGUCGAGCGGGGUUUUCGGACCUAGCGGCGGAACGGGUGAGUAAUGCGUAGGAAGCUGCCCGAUAGAGGGGGAUACCAGUUGGAAACGACUGUUAAUACCGCAUAAUGUCUACGGACCAAAGUGUGGGACCUUCGGGCCACAUGCUAUCGGAUGCGCCUACGUGGGAUUAGCUAGUUGGUGAGGUAAUGGCUCACCAAGGCGACGAUCUCUAGCUGGUUUGAGAGGAUGAUCAGCCACACUGGAACUGAGACACGGUCCAGACUCCUACGGGAGGCAGCAGUGGGGAAUAUUGGACAAUGGGCGCAAGCCUGAUCCAGCCAUGCCGCGUGUGUGAAGAAGGCCUUCGGGUUGUAAAGCACUUUCAGCGAGGAGGAAGGGUGGUGUGUUAAUAGCACAUCAUUUUGACGUUACUCGCAGAAGAAGCACCGGCUAACUCUGUGCCAGCAGCCGCGGUAAUACAGAGGGUGCAAGCGUUAAUCGGAAUUACUGGGCGUAAAGCGCACGUAGGCGGUUUUUUAAGUCAGAUGUGAAAGCCCCGGGCUCAACCUGGGAAUUGCAUUUGAAACUGGAAAACUAGAGUGUGUGAGAGGGGGGGUAGAAUUCCAAGUGUAGCGGUGAAAUGCGUAGAGAUUUGGAGGAAUACCAGUGGCGAAGGCGGCCCCCUGGCACAACACUGACGCUCAGGUGCGAAAGCGUGGGGAGCAAACAGGAUUAGAUACCCUGGUAGUCCACGCCGUAAACGAUGUCUACUAGCUGUUCGUGGUCUUGUACUGUGAGUAGCGCAGCUAACGCACUAAGUAGACCGCCUGGGGAGUACGGUCGCAAGAUUAAAACUCAAAUGAAUUGACGGGGGCCCGCACAAGCGGUGGAGCAUGUGGUUUAAUUCGACGCAACGCGAAGAACCUUACCUACUCUUGACAUCUACGGAAGACUGCAGAGAUGCGGUUGUGCCUUCGGGAACCGUAAGACAGGUGCUGCAUGGCUGUCGUCAGCUCGUGUUGUGAAAUGUUGGGUUAAGUCCCGCAACGAGCGCAACCC